rnacentral:rRNA from 1 species
GCAAGUCGAGCGCGCCCUUCGGGGUGAGCGGCGGACGGGUGAGUAACGCGUGGGAACGUGCCCUUUGCUGCGGAAUAGCCACUGGAAACGGUGAGUAAUACCGCAUGAGCCCUUCGGGGGAAAGAUUUAUCGGCAAGGGAUCGGCCCGCGUUGGAUUAGGUAGUUGGUGGGGUAAUGGCCUACCAAGCCGACGAUCCAUAGCUGGUUUCAGAGGAUGAUCAGCCACACUGGGACUGAGACACGGCCCAGACUCCUACGGGAGGCAGCAGUGGGGAAUCUUAGACAAUGGGCGCAAGCCUGAUCUAGCCAUGCCGCGUGAGUGACGAAGGCCCUAGGGUCGUAAAGCUCUUUCGCCUGUGAAGAUAAUGACGGUAGCAGGUAAAGAAACCCCGGCUAACUCCGUGCCAGCAGCCGCGGUAAUACGGAGGGGGUUAGCGUUGUUCGGAAUUACUGGGCGUAAAGCGCGCGUAGGCGGACCAUCAAGUUGGGGGUGAAAUCCCGGGGCUCAACCCCGGAACUGCCUCCAAAACUGGCGGUCUGGAGUUCGAGAGAGGUGAGUGGAAUUCCGAGUGUAGAGGUGAAAUUCGUAGAUAUUCGGAGGAACACCAGUGGCGAAGGCGGCUCACUGGCUCGAGACUGACGCUGAGGUGCGAAAGUGUGGGGAGCAAACAGGAUUAGAUACCCUGGUAGUCCAUACCGUAAACGAUGAAUGCCAGUCGUCGGCAAGCAUGCUUGUCGGUGACACACCUAACGGAUUAAGCAUUCCGCCUGGGGAGUACGGCCGCAAGGUUACAACUCAAAUGAAUUGACGGAA